CCCUUAGAUGUCCUGGGCCGCACGCGCGUUACACUGAUGCAUUCAACGAGCUUAUAACCUUGGCCGAGAGGCCUGGGCAAUCUUGUUAACGUGCAUCGUGAUAGGGAUAGAUUAUUGAAAUUAUUAAUCUUGAACGAGGAAUUCCUAGUAAACGCAGAUCAUCAAUCUGCAUUGAUUACGUCCCUGCCCUUUGUACACACCGCCCGUCGCUACUACCGAUUGAAUGGUUUAGUGAGGCCUUCGGAUCCGCGACUCGUUUGUGGAGAAGUUGGACAAACUCAGUCAUUUAGAGGAAGUAAAAGUCGUAACA
rnacentral:rRNA from 1 species